UAAUGCGGGGGGCAGGGGAAGAGCCAAAUCCCAUGUGCAAAAGACUCUAAAUAAAUGACUCAGAUGUUCUACCAUCAAGGUGGAGUGGCGUCACUCCCUACUCCGUUCUUUCUUUCUUUUUUUUCCCUUGAAACAGGGUCUCACUGUGUUUCCCAAGCUGGAAUGCAAUGGCACAAUCACAGCUCACUGCAGCCUCAACCUUUUGGGCAACUCCAAAGGGCUGAAUAUGGAAUUUUUCCAUGUUGAUGCAUAAUAUGCUACAGAAGACAGAAGCAAAUAAAAAAGAAAUGUUGCUAACCACAGAAAAACAUAAAGUUUUGAAGACUCAAGAUACGAUUUUCAAAAAUGAAUUCACAAAUAAAACAGCUGUUACAGA